rnacentral:rRNA from 1 species
UACGGGGGGGGUGAGCGUUGUUCGGAAUUACUGGGCGUAAAGGGCUCGUAGGCGGCCAACUAAGUCAGACGUGAAAUCCCUCAGCUUAACCGGGGAACUGCGUCUGAUACUGGAUGGCUCGAGUUCGGGAGAGGGAUGCGGAAUUCCAGGUGUAGCGGUGAAAUGCGUAGAUAUCAGGAGGAACACCGAUGGCGAAGGCAGCUCGCUGGGACGGUACUGACGCUGAGGCGCGAAAGCGUGGGGAGCGAACAGG